rnacentral:rRNA from 1 species
AGCAGCCGCGGUAAUUCCAGCUCCAAUAGCGUAUAUUAAAGUUGUUGCCGUUAAAAAGCUCGUAGUUGAACCUUGGACCUGGCUGAUCUGUCCUCCUAAUCGAGCGCACGGAUUCGGUCGGGUCUUUCCUUCUGGGGAGCCCUAUGCCCUUCACUGGGUGUAGUGGGGAACCAGGACUUUUACCUUGAAAAAAUUAGAGUGUUCAAAGCAGGCCUUUGCUCGAAUACAUUAGCAUGGAAUAAUAGAAUAGGACAUCGGUUCUAUUUUGUUGGUUUCUAGGACCGCUGUAAUGAUUAAUAGGGAUAGUCGGGGGCGUCAGUAUUCAAUUGUCAGAGGUGAAAUUCUUGGAUUUAUUGAAGACUAACUACUGCGAAAGCAUUCGCCGAGGAUGUUUUCAUUAAUCAGUGAACGAAAGUUAGGGGAUCGAAGACGACCAGAUACCGUCGUAGUCUUAACCAUAAACUAUGCCGACUAGG